ensembl:misc_RNA Metazoa_SRP Metazoan signal recognition particle RNA
GCUGGGUGUGGUGGCCCACGCCUGUAAUCCCAGCUACUUGGGAGGCUGAGGCAGGAAAAUUGCUUGAACCUGGGAGGCAGGGGUUGCAGUGAGCUAAGAUGGUGCCAUUGCACUCCUGCCUGGGUGACAGAGCAAGACUCAGUCUCAG